UACGUAGGGGGCUAGCGUUGUCCGGAAUCAUUGGGCGUAAAGAGCGUGUAGGCGGUCCGGUAAGUCCGUUGUGAAAGUCAAGGGCUCAACCCUUGAAUGCCGGCGGAUACUGUCGGGCUAGAGUCCGGAAGAGGCAAGUGGAAUUCCCGGUGUAGCGGUGAAAUGCGCAGAUAUCGGGAGGAACACCUAUGGCGAAGGCAGCUUGCUGGGACGGUACUGACGCUGAGGAGCGAAAGCGUGGGGAGCGAACAGG
rnacentral:rRNA from 1 species